rnacentral:tRNA from 1 species
AGGAACUUAGGAUCAAUAAAACCAGGGGCCUUCAAAGCCCCCAAAAAGAGUCGAAUCUCUUAGCU